rnacentral:rRNA from 1 species
CACGCAGGCGGCCAUCUAAGUCAGAUGUGAAAGCCCACGGCUCAACCGUGGAACUGCAUUUGAUACUGGUUGGCUAGAGUACGGUUGGGGUGAGUGGAACUCCUGGUGGAGCGGUGAAAUGCGUAGAUAUCAGGAGGAACACCAGUGGCGAAAGCGGCUCACUGGACCGUAACUGACGCUGAGGUGCGAAAGCUAGGGUAGCGGACG